rnacentral:lncRNA from 1 species
ACAGUUAAUGUCAAUAUUAUGUGCUCUCCAUCCAUUGAUCUUAGCUACUUUUGUCCUCAGAAGUAUGCAACCACUUUGAUCCACAAGAUUGACUAUGUGCUACUUUUGUUCCUGGAAGUACCACCCACAUAUACGCACUACACUCUGUGUUGUUUCUAUCCUAGAGACACGCACCUAUGCUGCUCCAACCCUAGGAGUACGUAUUCCUUCAUUCACCCACACACAUUCCACGUCCACUUAGAUAAUGUUCUACUCCUACACUGGGAGAAGACACCCAAAAAUAUUCAAUGUCUUACUCUACUUAUCCAAUAAAGCCCUAGUUAUCCCAGUUGAUACUCCCUACUAUUGUCAUUGAAUUAAAAGGGAUGGAUGAUCUCUAAAAAAAGAGAGAAAAAGAAAGAAAGAGGACAAAAGUCCCAAUACAAAAGAAAAGAAAGACAACCAAAUCCUUAUUUUCAGAUUAGGGAGGUAUGUUAUCCCCAAGGAGCAAAUGUAGAAUUAGAUAUUCAACAUUAGUUAUCACCCCUCAUUACCACUUUUAUUCUUAUCAUUGACUUCAUUCACUACAGUCACAUGCACGUAUGACUUGAUUGUAUAAUUAGUUUCUCUAGAUCCAUGGUUAACUAUGCAAUACAGGCAAGUAGAUUUGAAUUAUCUUUCCCACCUAUGAGCUCCACAUAAGCCAAUUAGAAGUAGGGUGUGAGAGAGAAGGCAACUUUGUCUUAGUGAUACAAAUACCAUAUAUUCUAAGAGCAGAGAUAAGGCAUACUCACUUGCCUUG